CAGGACAGAGGACUAAAGCCGAAACUCCAGCCAGGGACCUCAUUGAAAACACUGAGAAUGUUGAACCUGAAGGACAAUAUAUGAACCCCAAAGAGAACCCCAAGGAUAACAACAUCAUGUACGCCUCCAUUCCCCUCUCAAGCCCAGCCUCCCCAGGAACACCACCCUGCCAACCCGUCCAUGGGAACCUCCAGGAAGAGACUGUGUACUCCAUCGUAAAGGCCAAAUGAGUGGGUCUGAGUGACGAUCUCAGAGUCACCUGUGUUUCUAGUGGGAAGACUCCCAGCUUCCACUGAUACCCACAGCCAGAGACAACAACUCAUGGGUCACUGAUACCCAUGGCCAGAGACAGAAAUCCACAUGUCAGGGCAUUUGAGCUCAGAGAAAAUCAGAAAUUCCCAGUUCCCUUUUCUAACUUUCUGAACCUUUCUCACAAAAAUAAAACAAUCCACAUAAUUUGCCUAA